rfam:Myotis brandtii contig202264, whole genome shotgun sequence.
GGUGGUUCUCGGGUGACACACCCUGGAAUCGGGCUCCCUCCUCUCUAGGUCCAUGUGCGUCACCCAAGAACCGCA